rnacentral:tRNA from 1 species
GCCAGCGUGGCAUAGUGGUUUGAGUGCUGGACUGCGACUCUGGAGAGCAAAGUUCGAUUCCCAGCUCAGCUA